rnacentral:rRNA from 1 species
UAGGGAAUAUUGCAAAUGGGCGAAAGCCUGAUGUAGCAACGCCGCGUGUGCGAUGAAGGUCUUCGGAUUGUAAAGCACUUUUUGGAGGGAUGAGGAAGGACAGUACCUCCAGAAUAAGCCUCGGCUAACUACGUGCCAGCAGCCGCGGUAACACGUAGGAGGCAAGCGUUAUUCGGAUUUACUGGGCGUAAAGCGCGUGCAGGCGGCUUGGAAAGUUGGAUGUGAAAGACCCUGGCUCAACCAGGGAUGAGGGCUGGAAACUGACAAUCUUGAGUACAGCAGAGGAAGAGGGAAUUACCGGUGUAGGGGUGAAAUCCGUAGAGACCGGUAAGAAGGCCAGUGGCGAAGGCGCUUUUCUGGGCUGUUACUGACGCUGAGGCUCGAAAGCCAGGGGAGCAAACCG